rnacentral:ncRNA from 1 species
AAAAACUCAUUGAAAAGAAGAGUACACAAGCUGACAUUUAUCACCAGUGAAUAAAUGAUUCACUGGUAUCAGAGAGCUUUCGUUUGGUGUAAGAAAGCAAUGAUCCCUUGUCGAAAAUGAUCUUGGAGAGGAAAAAUCAUUGCGAUUUUUACGGCAGCUACCGUUAACAAGGCACCAAAUCAAGAAGUUAUUCUGCGUUUGGGUUGAGAUGGAUUUAAUUUCCAAUAAAGGUGGUACCGCGACAGUCGCCCUUUAC